rnacentral:rRNA from 1 species
CCUACGGGAGGCUGCAGUGAGGAAUAUUGGUCAAUGGGCGCGAGCCUGAACCAGCCAAGUCGCGUGCGGGAGGACGGCCCUACGGGUUGUAAACCUCUUUUGCCGGGGAGCAACGGGCGCCACGUGUGGCGUCACUGAGAGUACCCGGAGAAAAAGCAUCGGCUAACUCCGUGCCAGCAGCGGCGGUAAUACGGAGGAUGCGAGCGUUAUCCGGAUUUAUUGGGUUUAAAGGGUGCGUAGGCGGAUCGUUAAGUCAGGGGUAAAAUUGAGGGGCUAAACCCCUUCCCGCCAUUGAUACUGGCGUUCUUGAGUGGAAGAGAAGUAUGCGGAAUGCGUGGUGUAGCGGUGAAAUGCAUAGAUAUCACGCAGAACCCCGAUUGCGAAGGCAGCAUGCCGGCUUCCGACUGACGCUGAAGCACGAAAGCGUGGGGAUCGAACAGGAUUAGAUACCCCUGUAGUC